GUGUGUGUGUGUGUGUGUGUGUGUGUGUGUGUGUGUGUGUGUGUGUGUGUGUGUGUGCAUCAAUCUCCAUCAUAAUGCUGAGUGUAACAGCCUGCCUGUCAGACCCAUGUGGUGGCAAGCUGUGAAGGUCUGCUAAUAGACUUUUACAUAAUAAACCCUAGAAGUGCCCUGUGAUCACCUGAUGGGGGAACUUUAAUUAUUUCAUAAAAUAAAGGGGGAAAUGCUUCUAAAUACUUGGGAGGUUUUGUUGGAAUGCAUAAUGUAAAUGUGAAACAUACAUUUGUUUGAUUUUACCAUGGAUAUUGCUAUGCAUACAAGCAGAUGGCUGGUAGUUUAAUCAGAGUUAUAUAAGGGUAAUCAGAGCAGAUACUGUAAAUACAAUCUGCAACCCUUAUUUCAGCUCAAAUAAUUCAAGACUGUACACUUGAAUUUAAUUAAAAGUGUUAUAGAGCUUUAUGAAUAUCGUAAGUGAACCCACUCUCCUUCUCCCACUCCUUAGGCCUUUGCUCUGCAACUGAUCUCCUCCAUUCUCUCUUUUCCCUAUCCUCUCCUCUGCUCUCUCCUCCUCUCUCUCUCUCUCUACCUAUCCUCUCAUUCAGUGCGUUGGGACCAGUAAUGUGAGUCGGCAUCCGCAGGCUGGGCGCGGCCAAGUCCCCACCCCCCUCUUCCCUGAAUGCGACGCAGCUGCUUUUCAGAACCCAACCGCUUGAGUCCAUUCAUCCUGAGAGCGAACAAAACAGUGGCUAUUUAUUAGAAUACUUGUUUUGUAUUGUUCUGCACCAAACAAAAGAGGCUUCAUUAUGUAAGAAGCAAACCCCCUUUCGCCGAGAGAAACAAUAACUUGAAAUGGUAUUUUAGAGUAUAUAAUAAAUGUCAUUUCUUCUUGUCUCUCGCCUCAGUGUGUGUUGAGUGGUGGGUUUGGGCACCGGGCACGGAUGGCACCGACAGCCGCUAGAGUGUAGUGGGGAUGGCGGUCUUACAAUAAGCUUUGGUGGGUUUAGGACAGCGUUAAGAGGAGGGGGAAGGAAUCUUCUCAUACUUCACUGGCUACGAUAUGAGGGACGACCAGGGAGACUUGCCUCAAUUUGCAUAACCUCGGCUGUUGUACACACAAGGAGCUCCCUUUCGCUCGGACGGUCGAUGGCAGCAGGUGCUCUUGCCCGGAGGCGCACGAAAAGGGAGGGAUGGGGAGCAGCGCGUUAUUACUUCAAGACCAUCUCACAGUGAAAUGAGGGCACUUUUCGUCCCGUUUGGUGUUGGCGUGUGGUUCUGAGCUUGUCCGUCUGUCUCCCCACCCGCUCACUCAUUCCUCCUCAGCGUUUACUCCCCCCACAGAGCCACAUCUGCAAGGGUGUCCAGUAUGAGGACUGUCAUGAGGGACUGUCCAUGAAUUACCAUGGAAACCUGUGAUUGACAGACAGGCGCUAGCCCCAUCUGGCUGGCUGGCAGACCGUCAUUACGAUGAGCAGGAGGAGAUUUGCUGUACGGCGACAGGACAGUACGAAAAAUGUCAACGAUCGCCAGAGCCCCAGACUUCCUCCCAUCCCCCAAGUACCUCAGCUAAUGUUAUCUAAUGUUAUCUAAUGUUAUCUAAUGCCCAUAUUUAUCAUUCAAAUAAUCUAGACUGAAGUUAGCUGCAAUACACCCCCACACACCUCACUGACUCCCCUUAUGUACCAAAACCUCAACACACCUCACUGACUCCCCUUAUGUACCAACACCUCAACACACCUCACUGACUCCCCUUAUGUACCAACACCUCAACACACCUCACUGACUCCCCUUAUGUACCAACACCUCAACACACCUCACUGACUCCCCUUAUGUACCAACACCUCAACACACCUCACUGACUCCCAUUAUGUACCAACACCUCAACACACCUCACUGACUCCCCUUAUGUACCAACACCUCAACACACCUCACUGACUCCCCUUAUGUACCAACACCUCAACACACCUCACUCAAACCCCCUUACACUUUCCCCAUGUACCUCAUCCCAACCACUUUGGAACAUAUCCAUCCUCCAACCUGUCUGUCACUAAUCACUCCCUACACUCCUCACCCCAACCAUCCCUCACACCACCCACCCCCUCCUUACCCCCACACACCUUAGCCUGCCUCCUAUGUAAAUACCCUGUCUCCCUCUAUUGGCCUAUGUCUCAGCAGCGCUCUGCAUGUUAACAUUUCUAAACCCCCUCAAAUUGUGACUAACAACCAUUUUGUAGCCUUCAGUCUAUUUGAACAGUCAGCCAGCCCUGCAUGCCAAACAGCUAGCUAGAACAGACUGAGACAGACUGGAAGACUGGCACCCUGACCAGAGAGUAAGUGCUGUGUUUAUCCUCUCAUACAUACACCACCAGCUUACUCCGGUUUGGCAGGACAGUGACAAAGGACCAGCCAACGCCUGGCAAACUGACAGGCAUCCGGGCUAGUUAGCACCUAGGAAGAGGUUCUAUAAAGAUAAAGGAGAAAAGACAAGCAAUGUGUACUCAUCCUUCUCCUCUCCAGUGAAGUCUUACCACUCAUCCGUCUCCUCUCCAGUGAAGUCUUACCACUCAUCCUUCUCUUCUCCAGUGAAGUCUUACCACUCAUCCUUCUCCUCUCCAGUGAAGUCUUACCACUCAUCCUUCUCCUCUCCAGUGAAGUCUUACCACUCAUCCUUCUCCUCUCCAGUGAAGUCUUACCACUCAUCCUUCUCCUCUCCAGUGAAGUCUUACCACUCAUCCUUCUCCUCUCCAGUGAAGUCUUACCACUCAUCCUUCUCCUCUCCAGUGAAGUCUUACCACUCAUCCUUCUCCUCUCCAGUGAAGUCUUACCACUCAUCCUUCCUCCUCUCCAGUGAAGUCUUACCACUCAUCCUUCUCCUCUCCAGUGAAGUCUUACCACUCAUCCUUCUCCUCUCCAGUGAAGUCUUACCACUCAUCCUUCUCCUCUCCAGUGAAGUCUUACCACUCAUCCGUCUCCACUACAGCUCAUGGCCAAGACACAGUGUACAUUUUGUAGUCAUACAAAUCUUCUACCUUGAGUGAUACCACAAAAGAAACAAUACAUUUUUAAAAAACACUUUCAAAUUGCGUUCUGUCACCUCCCCUUGAAGCCAGAGGAGAAAAUCUCAGUUUCGUUAGAGAGGGAAUUAAAAUAGAGGAUCAUUGUCAAGUACAAGGAGGAAAGGUGAGGGAAACUGUUAUGUGAGGUCACAUAACAAACUAUAAUAUGUAAUUUCAAUAGUUUUUCAUUCAUUUGAAAUCUGUUCCUUAAGCUUGUGUUUUUUAAUGAAUGUAAUUGAUCUGGGAGAUGCUUGAUGCAGUGGUUAUAUCUGUGGUAGGGAAACACUCUGCAGAUUUAAGCAUUUAAUCCAAUGUCGAGAUUUUGAUUGCAUCAACAAUGGCUUAAUCAAACAAUCAUCUUUAUGGAUUUGUAUUAAAGAUUUUAUAUCAAUGUAUUAAGUUGAAAUCCAAAUAAUUUUUGUUGAUGCCUCUGUCCAUUUUGAGGAUUGACUGUAAAUCUUUCCCUUGAAAUACAAAUAAAAUGCAAAAUAAAGU